ensembl:lncRNA
CUUCAGCCUAAAGAUGUGGCAGAAGUUGUUAGAGGAGAUACGUUUGGAAGUGAUUCUCUUGGAGUACACAACUUAAGUGAACAAGAAGAAGUAACAUUUAAAUUUGAUAGUUCAUUAGUGGAAGCUGGCAGAACACUACAUGAAUCAUUGGUUUCAGGAUCCUCAGUAGUGUCCCCCUUAUAUUCCACAACCCUUAAUCCGGACAUUAAUUUUGGCUCAGGAGGAAUUGUAGUAGAGUCCAGUCCGCCAUCACCUCCCAUAGCAAUUAGCGAAGAGGAAACACUUGUAUCUGAAGGAACUAUCAUGCCAAACAUUUUAAUCUCCACCACUGAAAAGCAGCCUUCUGUAAGACCAGUACUCCCAAUUAGUUCAACAGAUAUUCGUUUAGAUCAUAAUGACACUACUAAGUCAUAUGUAUCUUCUUCAGUGCACAGUACUGGCUCAGUAACAGAGCACAAAGUCGAAGAUACAGCCAUUACAACACCGGUCAUGGGAAUGACAACUCAGAAAGAUGACUCAAUCAAAAGUACAACACACACAGUUGUUUCUGGCCUAGGGCCUACUGCUGCACAUAUGGACCGUUUGGAUACAGAUGAAUCAGGCUUGAGUAUUCAAACAACUAAAGAGUGUAAUUUGACAUUACCAACUCAAGUACAUAGUAUAAUAGCAACAAGAAAAAAGGACAUAACAUUUACUCCUUCAUCAAGUGAGACUGUUAAAAUGCAGAAAGAGGCAACUUCAGAAUUCAUGAUGCCAUCAACAAAUAAUUUAGAAAUGACAACAGCAAAACAUAAGCUUUCACCAUCACAUUAUCAGAAAUUAUCUGAAAGCAGUGCCACAUUGACCUUAGAGAUGACAACAGUAAAAGAUGAACUGUCACUUUCAGGUUUUGCUUCAGUUAUGCCAUCAACAGAGUCUGAAGCUUCAGGAGAUGAGACAUCUGACAUGUUUAGCAAAGAAUUUACAACAACAAGUUCUUCAUUGUACAGCACAACCAAAUCAGCCAAAGAACUCAGCAGAACCAAAGAAACUAUCGCAGGGUCCAGUUCAACAGAUACUGAUAUCAAAAGAGAUCUGACAACUGAGGGACAUAGUAGAAAACCCAUUUCCUCUAUUGGCUCUACCUCAUCUAGCAUAUUACAUACAUUUGAAUCAUUGAGCACUGGGCACUCAACAGCACCAACAGUCACAAGUCAAGAUGUUACUUCACAUACAGCAGCAACCACAGCUAAUUUAAUAGAGGACAAAGAUCUGUCAGCAAAACCAUCUG